GGGUGAGUAACGCGUGAGUAACCUGCCUUACACAAGGGGAUAGCCGUUGGAAACGACGAAUAAUACCCUAUGAAACUAUCACUUCGCAUGAAGCGAUAGUCAAAGUGUUAGCGGUGUAAGAUGGACUUGCGUCUGAUUAGCUAGUUGGUGAGAAAAAGCCCACCAAGGCAACGAUCAGUAGCCGGCUUGAGAGAGUGUACGGCCACAUUGGGGCUGAGACACGGCCCAG
rnacentral:rRNA from 1 species